UAUAUAUAGAGAGAGAGAGGGCGAGAGAAAGGAGGUGUUUGUCCUAGUUUUUAAAAAGUAUUUUUGUGUUGAAAAAUAAUUUUCAGUUUAAUAGAGCAUUUGGUAAUUAUAUUUUUAAAAUCUGGUUCUGCUUUUUAGAAUUACUAAUAUAGGAACUAAACGAAUUUGGGAUUGCUAUUUUUAUUUUUUUAAAAAAAAUAGUAUUUUAUCCUGUCCGUUUAUUUUCCUUCGAUUUGUUUGCUUGGGAUAUAAAUAAAAAUUAUGUAUUUCAGAAAUAAAUAUAAAUUCAAGUAUAUAAGUAGGACCUAAACGAAUUUUAUUUUUGAAUAAAAAUUAAAUUGUUUCUAAGAAUAAGAUAAAUAAUGUUUGGAUAGUCAGAUUAGAAUACGAGGAAUAAACGUUUAACAUUAAAAUAUUAAAUUAAAGUAAUUUAAUAAAUUAAUAAAU
rnacentral:lncRNA from 1 species